AUACGGAGGAUGCGAGCGUUAUCCGGAUUUAUUGGGUUUAAAGGGUGCGUAGGUGGUAGAUUAAGUCAGCGGUUAAAUCGUGGGGCUCAACCCCAUUCUGCCGUUGAUACUGGGUGGCUUGAUUGCGGUCGAGGUUGGCGGAAUUCGUUGUGUAGCGGUGAAAUGCAUAGAUAUGACGAAGAACACCGAUUGCGUAGGCAGCUGACCAGACCGCAAAUGACGCUCAUGCACGAAAGUGCGGGGAUCGAACAGGAUUAGAUACCCUGGUAGUCCGCACAGUAAACGAUGAAUACUUGUUUUCGGCGAUAUAAUGUCGGAGGCAAAGCGAAAGCGAUAAGUAUUCCACCUGGGGAGUACGCCGGCAACGGUGAAACUCAAAUGAAUUGGCGGGG
rnacentral:rRNA from 1 species